UACAGAGGUCUCGAGCGUUGUUCGGAUUCAUUGGGCGUAAAGGGCGCGUAGGCGGCGGGGUAAGUCUGGUGUGAAAUCUCGGAGCUCAACUCCGAAAUUGCACUGGAUACUGCUCUGCUAGAGGGCUGGAGAGGAGAUCGGAAUUCACGGUGUAGCAGUGAAAUGCGUAGAUAUCGUGAGGAGGACCAGUGGCGAAGGCGGAUCUCUGGACAGCUCCUGACGCUGAGGCGCGAAGGCUAGGGGAGCAAACGGG
rnacentral:rRNA from 1 species